ACGGAAUAAACUAUAAAAAGGUGAACAUUGAACGGUAUCGACAAUAAAAAGGGAAAAUCAACGGAAUAAACAAUAAAAAGGUGAACAUUGAACGGUAUCAACAAUAAAAAGGUAAAAUUAACGGAAUAAACUAUAAAAAGGUGAACAUUGAACGGUAUCGACAAUAAAAAGGUAAAAUUAACGGAAUAAACUAUAAAAAGGUGAACAUUGAACGGUAUCGACAAUAAAAAGGGAAAAUUAACGGAAUAAACUAUAAAAAGGUGAACAUUGAACGGUAUCGACAAUAAAAAGGGAAAAUUAACGGAAUAAACUAUAAAAAGGUGAACAUUGAACGGUAUCGACAAUAAAAAGGUAAAAUUAACGGAAUAAACUAUAAAAAGGUGAACAUUGAACGGUAUCGACAAUAAAAAGGUAAAAUUAACGGAAUAAACUAUAAAAAGGUGAACAUUGAACGGUAUCGACAAUAAAAAGGGAAAAUUAACGGAAUAAACUAUAAAAAGGUGAACAUUGAACGGUAUCGACAAUAAAAAGGGAAAAUUAACGGAAUAAACUAUAAAAAGGUGAACAUUGAACGGUAUCGACAAUAAAAAGGGAAAAUUAACGGAAUAAACUAUAAAAAGGUGAACAUUGAACGGUAUCAACAAUAAAAAGGUAAAAUUAACGGAAUAAACAAUA